GAUGGUGACGGGCUGUGCAAGGUGUGACAGACCCAUCCCAGCCAGCUGCAGCCUCCGCUAUCCCAGACAGCACUAUACAGGCUAAACUCCCCAUGAACAUGCCAUAGAGAACUCUCUGAGAGGUGACUAGGGAGAGAUGAAGAUUGGUGGCUGCAUCUGGCCAACAAUAUCUGCGUUUGGGGCUUCACUUCUUGCCUUCGGCUAAAGAACGUCAAACUUCAUAAAGGCUUAUUACCAAUGGUUCCCAUCAGAAUUGGAGCAUGGGUAUUUCCCAGAGAAUGCCUUUCCUUUCCCACAAAGGUAUGGAAAAGCUUUGGGGGAAGGAUUUAUUCACACCCUUUCAAGAAGGGUGAGAAGUACAUUCUUACCUCAUUUGCUCUCUCAGUCCAAAGUGGGCCUCCAAAAUCACUAAGCUUUUGACUCCACAUUUGUGCUCUUUUUGUUGAGAUUGUCAACAUUAUGCAAGUUGACUUCCUAUUUCUUCUUACUUCAUUUUCUAUUCAAAGAUUAAAUUCUUUGGGUUAAGGAGAUCUCAGGGAUCCUAUAAUCCAAAUCUCUUGUUUUAAAAAUAAAAGAAACUGAAACUCAGAGAUGCUGAUACAAUUAAUCAGCAGAAGAGCCAAGAGCAGAA